AACGAACGCUGGCGGCAGGCUCAACACAUGCAAGUCGAACGCCCCGCAAGGGGAGUGGCAGACGGGUGAGUAACGCGUGGGAAUCUACCGUACCCUACGGAAUAGCUCCGGGAAACUGGAAUUAAUACCGUAUACGCCCUACGGGGGAAAGAUUUAUCGGGGUAUGAUGAGACCGCGUUGGAUUAGCUAGUUGGUGGGGUAAAGGCCUACCAAGGCGACGAUCCAUAGCUGGUCUGAGAGGAUGAUCAGCCACAUUGGGACUGAGACACGGCCCAAACUCCUACGGGAGGCAGCAGUGGGGAAUAUUGGACAAUGGGCGCAAGCCUGAUCCAGCCAUGCCGCGUGAGUGAUGAAGGUCUUAGGAUUGUAAAGCUCUUUCACCGAUGAAGAUAAUGACGGUAGUCGGAGAAGAAGCCCCGGCUAACUUCGUGCCAGCCGCCGCCGUAA
rnacentral:rRNA from 1 species